AUUGAACGCUGGCGGCAGGCCUAACACAUGCAAGUCGAGCGAGCGGCGGACGGGUGAGUAAUGUAUGGGGACUGCCCGAUAGAGGGGGAUAACUACUGGAAACGGUGGUUAAUACCGCAUACUAUCGGAUAACCCAGAUGGGAUUAGCUAGUAGGUGGGGUAAAGGCUCACGUAGGCGACGAUCCCUAGCUGGUCUGAGAGGAUGAUCAGCCCCACUGGGCCGUAGACACGGCCCAGACUCCUACGGAGGCAGCAGUGGGGAAUAUUGCACGAUGGGCGCAAGCCUGAUUCAGCCAUGCCGCGUGUAUGAAGAAGGCCUUAGGGUUGUAAAGUAGUUUCAGCGGGGUGGCGUUACCCGCAGAAGAAGCACCGGCUAUCUCCGUGCCAGCAGCCGCGGUAAUUC
rnacentral:rRNA from 1 species